rnacentral:rRNA from 1 species
UACAGAGGUCCCAAGCGUUGUUCGGAUUCACUGGGCGUAAAGGGUGCGUAGGCGGUCGGGUAAGUCUGACGUGAAAUCUUCAAGCUCAACUUGGAAACUGCGUCGGAUACUAUUCGGCUAGAGGAAUGGAGGGGAGACUGGAAUACUUGGUGUAGCAGUGAAAUGCGUAGAUAAUCAAGUGGAACACCAGUGGCGAAGGCGAGUCUCUGGACAUUUCCUGACGCUGAGGCAACGAAAGCCAGGGGAGCAAACGGG